UGGCUGCCGUUUCCAUGGAAACAGAAUAAUUGUGAAAAAUUCCAGUUUUUGGUUUUGGUGAAUAAUUUGGAGAUUCUUAAACUCAGAAUCAUCAUAUUUUGAUACAAUGUAGGUGCCAGCCAUAUACUGGUUUUGGAUGAUUUUGGCAAUCAUUGGAACUACUAUGUUGCCAUGGAAACUGCACCAAAAAUUUCAAAAAUAUCAAAAUGCUCCAAAUUUUUUGAAACUUCAUGGUAACGAUGAGCAACAUUGGUAGAUGUGGAAUUUGGCG
rnacentral:lncRNA from 1 species